GGGAAGAAACUGAAGCUGACAAAUUAUUCUUUCAACCUAGCACACAAUGCCCGAGGUUAUCAAUCUGUCACAAAUGAAACUUCAGUUCUGAACUACAUGAAAGACGGCGAUGCAAUUGUCAUAUUUCAGAACAAUGGUACUUUACCCUGGACCCAUCUAAACUACACAAUUAGAAUGAAAACACAAUUUCACAUAAAUAUAUACGAACCGUUGGAUGGAAAAUACGAGCCACACUUGCUGUAUGGUAAUGAUUACGAGUCUUUCACCAAGUUGCAAUGGACGAUCGACCGGUCCUACUUAGAAAUGCGUACAGACAAC